rnacentral:rRNA from 1 species
GAUGAACGCUCGCGGCAGGCCUAACACAUGCAAGUCGAGGGAGAAGCCCUUUCGGGGGCAGAAACCGGCGCACGGGUGCGUAACGCGUAUGCAACCUACCUUUCACAGGGGGAUAGCCCGAAGAAAUUUGGAUUAAUACCCCAUAAUAUUAUUGGAUGGCAUCAUUUGAUAAUUAAAACUGCGGUGGUGAAAGAUGGGCAUGCGUCCUAUUAGCUAGUUGGAGUGGUAACGGCACCCCAAGGCUACGAUAGGUAGGGGUCCUGAGAGGGAGAUCCCCCACACUGGGACUGAGACAGGGACCAGACUCCUACGGGAGGCAGCAGUGAGGAAUAUUGGUCAAUGGUCGGAAGACUGAACCAGCCAUGCCGCGUGCAGGAAGAAUGCCUUAUGGGUUGUAAACUGCUUUUAUAUGGGAAGAAUAAGGCGUACGUGUACGUUGAUGACGGUACCAUAUGAAUAAGCAUCGGCUAACUCCGUG